rnacentral:rRNA from 1 species
UGCUAAUCUGCGAUAAGCGCCGGUAAGGUGAUAUGAACCGUUAUAACCGGCGAUUUCCGAAUGGGGAAACCCAGUGUGACUCGUCACACUAUCAUUAACUGAAUCCAUAGGUUAAUGAGGCGAACCGGGGGAACUGAAACAUCUAAGUACCCCGAGGAAAAGAAAUCAACCGAGAUUCCCCCAGUAGCGGCGAGCGAACGGGGAGGAGCCCAGAGCCUGAAUCAGCAUGUGUGUUAGUGGAAGCGUCUGGAAAGGCGCGCGAUACAGGGUGACAGCCCCGUACACAAAAGCGCAUGUGCUGUGAGCUCGAUGAGUAGGGCGGGACACGUGGUAUCCUGUCUGAAUAUGGGGGGACCAUCCUCCAAGGCUAAAUACUCCUGACUGACCGAUAGUGAACCAGUACCGUGAGGGAAAGGCGAAAAGAACCCCGGCGAGGGGAGUGAAA